rnacentral:rRNA from 1 species
AACGAACGCUGGCGGCAUGCCUAACACAUGCAAGUCGAACGAGACCUUCGGGUCUAGUGGCGCACGGGUGCGUAACGCGUGGGAACCUGCCUUUAGGUUCGGGAUAACUCAGAGAAAUUUGAGCUAAUACCGGAUGAUGUCUUCGGACCAAAGAUUUAUCGCCUUUAGAUGGGCCCGCGUUGGAUUGGCUAGUUGGUGGGGUAAAGGCCUACCAAGGCGACGAUCCAUAGCUGGUCUGAGAGGAUGAUCAGCCACACUGGGACUGAGACACGGCCCAGACUCCUACGGGAGGCAGCAGUGGGGAAUAUUGGACAAUGGGCGAAAGCCUGAUCCAGCAAUGCCGCGUGAGUGAUGAAGGCCUUAGGGUUGUAAAGCUCUUUUACCCGAGAUGAUAAUGACAGUAUCGGGAGAAUAAGCUCCGGCUAACUCCGUG